CACGUAGGGCGCAAGCGUUGUCCGGAAUUAUUGGGCGUAAAGAGCUCGUAGGCGGUCUGUUGCGUCCGCUGUGAAAACUCGGGGCUUAACCCCGAGCCUGCAGUGGAUACGGGCAGACUAGAGGUAGGUAGGGGAGAAUGGAAUUCCCGGUGUAGCGGUGAAAUGCGCAGAUAUCGGGAAGAACAUCGGUGGCGAAGGCGGCCUGCUGGGCUGUUGCUGACGCUGAGGCGCGACAGCGUGGGGAGCAAACAGGAUUGAGAAACCC
rnacentral:rRNA from 1 species